AUUCAGCCGACAAGUUCCAAAUAAAACGAAACGCGCGUCCUGGAU
rnacentral:hammerhead_ribozyme from 1 species